CAGCACCUCAAGUGGUCAGGAUGAUUAUUGGGCCUAAAGCAUCCGUAGCCGGCUCUGUAAGUUUUCGGUUAAAUCUGUACGCUCAACGUACAGGCUGCCGGGAAUACUGCAGAGCUAGAGAGUGGGAGAGGUAGACGGUACUCGGUAGGAAGGGGUAAAAUCCUUUGAUCUAUUGAUGACCACCUGUGGCGAAGGCGGUCUACCAGAACACGUCCGACGGUGAGGGAUGAAAGCUGGGGGAGCAAACCGGAUUAGAUACCCGAGUAGUCC
rnacentral:rRNA from 1 species